rnacentral:rRNA from 1 species
GUGGGGAAUCUUCCGCAAUGGACGAAAGUCUGACGGAGCAACGCCGCGUGAGUGAUGAAGGUCUUCGGAUUGUAAAGCUCUGUUAAUCGGGACGAAAGAGCCUAGUGUGAAUAAUGCUAGGAAGUGACGGUACCGGAAUAGAAAGCCACGGCUAACUACGUGCCAGCAGCCGCGGUAAUACGUAGGUGGCAAGCGUUGUCCGGAAUUAUUGGGCGUAAAGCGCGCGCAGGCGGAUCUGCCAGUCUGUCUUAAAAGUUCGGGGCUUAACCCCGUGAUGGGAUGGGAACUACAGAGCUAGAGUAUCGGAGAGGAAAGUGGAAGUCCUAGUGUAGCGGUGAAAUGCGUAGAUAUUAGGAAGAACACCAGUGGCGAAGGCGACUUUCUGGACGAAAACUGACGCUGAGGCGCGAAAGCCAGGGGAGCGAACGGGAUUAGAAACCCGAGUAGUCC